GUACAGGGUCUCGCUCUGUUGUCCCAAGCUGAAGUGCAGUGGCAUGAUGAUAGCUCACCUCGAUCUCCUCCAGAUCAAACCUCGAACUCCUGUGCUCAAGUGCUCCUACUGCCUCAGCCUUCUCAGUCAUGGUAAAUCCUUUUUCUUCCCCAAGCAUUGUAAACUUACCUCCAGCCACCACUUUUUAAAUCCUCAUCUGAACACUAAGGCCUUUCUAUUGUGUUAAGGGAGACUCAGAAAAGGAAUAUGUUAUAAAUGACCAGUUUUCCCUGAUGGCUAAACAAUUACUGAUGUAAUUUACCAAAGAAUUGCAGUCUGUGAGACACAGGGUACUGAGUAAAGCCAAGCAAAUAGUUUCUUUAUUCUUCAUAGCUUAGGAAAGUGGAUUUGAAGGGAAGUAUGUUAACUGUCUCAGGAUAUGUUGUGGGCAUUUGCCUUUGAUGGAAGGACCUUCUAGGAUGAGGGAAGGGGAGGUGAUGCUGACAGCAAGCAGAAGAGGACCCAACCCCUGGCUGCUUUUCAUCCCUCAGAGAAUAGUAUGGAAAGAGAGCAAGUAAUUUCAAAAUAUGUGGAAAAACAUUUAGACUACACAGACUAUUGAUUUGGAACCUCCGUAUCAGGAAAUUGUUUCUCUAAUGCAGUGACUUACUACUAAAAAGAAAGAAAAGUCUCUCAUGUUUGCAAAAUGGGCUUUGUACAGUACCUCAAACUGGGACCUAGAGGUCUAACGAGAAUGUGGCUCAAAAUGGAAAGGGGCCCAGUAAGUGUCUCCCAGAUCUGGUUCACAGCCUAAGGAAAAAAAUGCCUAUGCCUUACUGUCAAAGGGUAUAAGAAAAUAGCAUUGAUUUCCAUUGUCCUGAUUAGCUAAUCACUCCUAAAGGCAUAAACAGAAAAUGCAGGGCCGUUACGGCCCUCCGAGGAAUGCCAGCAUAUUUUACAGUCCACAAAAUCCUUUACAAAUCUCCCUUCCCCAUUCAUACCACAGAGACACAAGAGUAAGCCAAGUUAUUUGAACCAUGAUUUUGCUACUCAUAUAUAUCAAAGUGCUUUCAUGUUCUCACAGAACUUGAGCCACUGAAAGUAAGAUUAAUGCUCUGCCAGAAAAACUGGCUUUAAUGUAGUCCUACUACUGCUAUUGAGUAAACCCUUCAGAAGAGCCCUCAAGGCUUACGAAAUAAGACAUAGCAGAGCCCCUACAGAACAAGAACACAUUUUCCCCUAACCAGGAUUCACCUGCACUUCAGGCUGAGACUUUUUUCCUAGGGCCAAAUGUCCACCUCCUGCCUGGUGAGGUAUCUUUCCUCCCAAGCUCCCUCAACACCUUUCACACAUCUGGCAUGAUACUUAACUUCUUGAAAUGAAAUUGUCUAUUGAUGUAUCUGUCUCUCCCCAAUUACACCACACUGUCCUUGAGCACAAAACAGAAUCUUUUCCAGUUUUAUUAGGUUGGCGCCUAAUUGCACUGCAAUUACUUUUGCACCAACUUUAAUAGCUUCCCAGUGCUUACAAUACAUAGUAGGUGCUAGUUAACAUUUGUUGAAUUGAAUGGAAUUGAAUUCAUCUGAGCCAGUUUUCCUGCCCAGCCUGGAAUGGCACUGGGGCAGGUACCACCCAAGGCUCCACACCCAGCUAUGCUGCCAUUCUGGUGACCUUUAAUAAGCCAUUCCUUAUGCCAGAUUUCAUUACUGUAUAACACAGCAAUCAUAAAAGUUGCCACCUGGAUCAGUAGAAACAAUAAAAACUUAUAUCCCUGUCUAUAAGGUGCCCUAAACUCUUCAGAGGAGACAAGGAGAUGUUUGGUUCAAGGUUUCUAUAAAGAAGACAGAAUAUUAGCCAGCCCAGUAUAACCUCACAAAUAGGACAGGACUUUACUAGCUGGCCUCGACUUUUUUUAAAAAUAACUUUUUAAUUUAGAAAAGUUUUAGAUUUAAAGAAAAAUUGCAAAUAUAGUACAGAGAGUUCCCAAAUACUCUGUACCAGUUUCCCCUUUCAUUGACAACUUACAUUAGCAUGGUAUAUUUGCCACAAUUAAUGAGUCAAUACUGAUACGUUAUUAUUAACUAUAUUCAGGUUUCCUUAGGUUUUACCUGGUGUCCUUUUUCUGUUCCAGGAUCCCAUCCAGGAACAGAAAUACUACGUUACCAAUAAUUCUCAUGUCUCUUCUUGGUGGUUGCACUUUCUCAGACUUUCCUUGUUCUUGAUGACUGUGACAGUUUUAAGGAGUACUUGUCAGGUAUUUUGUAGGAUGCCUCUCAACUGGGAUUUGUUUGAAGUUUUUCUUAUAUUAGAUUACGGUUAUGGGUUUAGGGGAGGAAGGUUACAGAAGUAAAAGCCCUGGAGAGCUGGCCUUGGAGUCACGAGCCAUAGGCUCUCCCCAGCUUUCGAUAGUGAGCUGAGAUGAAGGAAGGACACACCAAAAGCAACAAGCCUCUGGCAUGGAAGACAGAACAACCUGGGUAGCUGAUGCAGUGGAAGACAUCACCUAAGGGAGUUUAUUAUCUUUUGUGAGUAAUGAAAGACUGGCAUGUGGAAUAACAAGUAAUUCACAUAUGACCACAAUCAAAGGCACCCAAGCAAAGAAACACACCCAGGCCCUCUGAGUGGUUGAGGCUUGAAAACUGAAGGCAGAUAGUGGAGUUUUUAAAUAUGAGACAAGGGUAGUGAGUGGUGGCUAGGACCAUGGGCUCUCACCUGGCUCUGCCACCACCUCUCCUAGUGACUUUGGGCAGGUCACUCCACUGUUUGUGCCUCAGGGUGAUUAUCUCUAAAAGUUAAGUACAGUAGCACCUUGUAUAGUUUUGUGAGGAUUAAGUAGGAUGAUAUGAGUAAGCACUUAUGAGGUACCUCCCGAAUACUGCGUGCUUAAAAAAUAUUAGCUGUUACCAUUAUUACAUCAAGAGGUGAGCAGAGCUCACUGGGGAUUCAUCCUAAAGGUAAGACCCAAAGGCUCAGAAGGCUUUUAAACAAUUAGCUGGCGGGGGGGGGGGGGGAAUUAGAUUUCUUGAAAAAAUUCAGGAAAUUUUCCUUUAAAAAACUAACAAAAGGGCUUAGUUACAACCCCCACAUGCCUGCUGGCAGGUAGGGCCAAUCACAGCAGGAGAGGGUCUGGAGUUUCUCAGGAGCAAGGCUUAGACCUCCUCAAGUCUUCUCCCACACGAUUUAAAUUUAGAAUUCUGUUCAGAGGACAAUUAACCAAAGCUAAGUAUACUGUACUGUCUAGGGUCAUGAACUAGAACCAAGCCAACUUGGCCUUUAUUGGAACAGUGAACUUGGGACUCCAGCUCUUGAGCCAGCCAGCAAAUUACCUGUCAACUCAAGCAAGCUUCAAUGUUGACCUGUAUCUCAGAGCUCUAGUAAGGAUUAGAACAACUCGGAGUGCACAGCCAACAGUGCUGUCGGAGGAACUUCAGAACACCUAGGAGCUGUAGAACACCAGUCAGAGAUGUGCUUAAAUGUUGUGUGCACUGAGAAAGGAGCCACAGAAGUGGUUUGAGUCCUUAAAACAGAGCAUGUUCACUUCAAAUU